AGCUGCCGCAGGGCUGGGGGGGGCGCGUGGUGGAAGUUUCGCUGAGGGAUCGAAACUUCCUUGCACCAUCCCUGUGAGUACCUUUCCCAGACCUGAAGAAGAGCUCUCUGUAAGCUCUAAAAGCUUGUCUUUUUCACCAACAGAAGUUGGUUCAAUCCAAGAUAUUAUCUCACCACCUUGUCUCCCUAAUAUCCUGGGACCAACAUGUCUACAGCAACACUGCAAAUCUCUUAUCUCUGGCAUCUCUCAUGAGGAACACUGCCCCACCUGCAAGAGAUAAGUCUGUUUGUUGUUGGUUCAUGUGACUGUAUGGCAUUUUAUCUUUUGUGUUCUCUCUCUCUCUCUUCUGGCUGCACUAACAUUUUUUCCCUAAUUCUUGAGUUUCCCCUCCCAGAAUUCAGAUGAGUAUUAUUCAGGUCAGAGCUCAUCAAGGAACAGGUCCCUCUGGUCCCCAAUACUUGUGUCACAUGUGGCAAUGACCCCACAAGCAUUUUACUGGUUGAACAAGAAACAGGAAGGACAGGUGGUUGCAGGUGCUCACUUGCUAAUAAGCCUGAGAUUUAGGGUUGUUCUGGGGGGCAGAUAAUUUAGCCUAGUAUUUCUAAACAUCUGGAUGCUAUUCAUUAUAACAUUCCUUUCUGUUUUUCUCUUGCAGGUAGAUGCUGGGCAUGUGGGAAUUGCUACUAGGGCAUUUGCCUCUGGGACCUUUCAACCAUGGCUCACAUUAAAGUGAGAGAAGAUUUCUUUGGAGUUCAUUGUAUUAAAAGGGCAAAAGUUUCGUAUUAUUGUGGCUUUUUUAGCAGGGAAGACAUAACUAAUGUAAACCCUGGGAAGUGUUAUGAGCAUCAAAGGACUAUUUUAAACAAUGGGCCAGACAAGAAUAAACA
rnacentral:lncRNA from 1 species